rnacentral:lncRNA from 1 species
CAUCAUAUAACAUCACAUAAUACAUCUCCGAGGUUUACAUAACACAAUAACUCAUCUCAUGAAUACAUUUCCUUACACAUGAAAAUAGCAAGAACGGACAGAAUUGUACAAUAGAACAAUGGCACAUCUGCUACUAUCACAACAGUACAAUGGACUUCAUUCCACUCUCCUAUGAUACAUGCUCGAGAUGCGACAACUUGUCAUCCUACAAGAACAUUACACUGCACAUGAAUCAAUCAAAAGGAAAUAAAUAUAAAAAAUAUUAGAAAUAAAAAACA